rnacentral:rRNA from 1 species
GACGAACGCUGGCGGCGUGCUUAACACAUGCAAGUCGAACGGAAAGGCCCUGCUUUUGUGGGGUGCUCGAGUGGCGAACGGGUGAGUAACACGUGAGUAACCUGCCCUUGACUUUGGGAUAACUUCAGGAAACUGGGGCUAAUACCGGAUAGGAGCUCCUGCUGCAUGGUGGGGGUUGGAAAGUUUGGGUGGUUGGGGAUGGACUCGCGGCUUAUCAGCUUGUUGGUGGGGUAGUGGCUUACCAAGGCUUUGACGGGUAGCCGGCCUGAGAGGGUGACCGGCAACAGUGGGACUGAGAUAAGGCGCAGACGCCUACGGGAGGAAGUGGUGGGGAAUAUUGCACAAUGGGCGGAAGCCGGAUGCAGCAACGCCGCGUGCGGGAGGACGGCCUUCGGGUUGUAAACCGCUUUGGCCUGUGACGAAGCGUGCGUGACGGUAAUGGGUAAAGAAGCACCGGCUAACUACGUG